rnacentral:rRNA from 1 species
GAUGAACGCUGGCGGCGUGCCUAAUACAUGCAAGUCGAGCGAACGGACGAGAAGCUUGCUUCUCUGAUGUUAGCGGCGGACGGGUGAGUAACACGUGGAUAACCUACCUAUAAGACUGGGAUAACUUCGGGAAACCGGAGCUAAUACCGGAUAAUAUUUUGAACCGCAUGGUUCAAAAGUGAAAGACGGUCUUGCUGUCACUUAUAGAUGGACCCGCGCUGCAUUAGCUAGUUGGUAAGGUAACGGCUUACCAAGGCAACGAUGGAUAGCCGACCUGAGCGGGGGAUAGGCCACACUGGAACGGAGACACGGUCCAGACUCCUACGGGAGGCAGCAGUAGGGAAUCUUCCGCAAUGGGCGAAAGCAUGACGGAGCAACGCCGCGUGAGUGAUGAAGGUCUUCGGAUCGUAAAACUCUGUUAUGAGUGAAGAACAUAUGUGUAAGUAACUGUGCACAUCUUGACGGUACCUAAUCAGAAAGCCACGGCUAACUACGUG